UAUCAUGAUCAUGCUACCCUGAAUACACCCAAUCUCGCCUGAUUCCAGGAGCUAAGCAGGGUUGGGGCAAGUUAAUACUUGAAUGGGAGACUGCAAAGGAACUCAAAAAAGGCAAACAUUAUAA
rnacentral:rRNA from 1 species